rnacentral:RNase_P_RNA from 2 species
AAAGUGAAACGGGUGAUCGCGGCAAUGCCGAGGAAAGUCCGGACUCCAUGGGCGAGGAUGCUGGGUAACACCCAGGGGGAGAGAUCCCCGGUAAGGGCUAUAGAGAAGCAAACCGCCUACGGGCAAGGGUGGAAAGGUGAGGUAAGAGCUCACCAGCUGUCGGGUAACCGGCAGGCUUGGCAACCCCCAUCCGGAGCAAGUCCAAGCAGAAAGGGUUUGAGGGCGCCCACCGAAUCCCUUUCGGGUAGGAUGCUGGAGGGUUAUGGUAACAUAACCCCGAGAUAGAUGAUCACGCGAACAGGAUCCGGCUUACGGUUUCACUUUCCCU